GGAUCGUAAAGCUCUGUUGUUAGGGAAGAACAAGUGCGAGAGUAACUGCUCGCACCAUGACGGUACCUAACCAGAAAGCCACGGCUAACUACGUGCCAGCAGCCGCGGUAAUACGUAGGUGGCAAGCGUUGUCCGGAAUUAUUGGGCGUAAAGGGCUCGCAGGCGGUUUCUUAAGUCUGAUGUGAAAGCCCCCGGCUCAACCGGGGAGGGUCAUUGGAAACUGGGAAACUUGAGUGCAGAAGAGGAGAGUGGAAUUCCACGUGUAGCGGUGAAAUGCGUAGAGAUGUGGAGGAACACCAGUGGCGAAGGCGACUCUCUGGUCUGUAACUGACGCUGAGGAGCGAAAGCGUGGGGAGCGAACAGGAUUAGAUACCCUGGUAGUCCACGCCGUAAACGAUGAGUGCUAAGUGUUAGGGGGUUUCCGCCCCUUAGUGCUGCAGCUAACGCAUUAAGCACUCCGCCUGGGGAGUACGGUCGCAAGACUGAAACUCAAAGGAAUUGACGGGGGCCCGCACAAGCGGUGGAGCAUGUGGUUUAAUUCGAA
rnacentral:rRNA from 1 species